GGCACUUUGGCGGAGUGGUUAACGCGAUGCCCUGCUAUACAGCCAGGCAUUUCCUUCGGGAGCGUGUGUUCGAAUCACACAGGUGUCG
rnacentral:tRNA from 1 species